GGAAGAGACACCCUCAAAAAUCACAAGAUUUCAUAUGUGCUAGCGUACGCAAAGCUUCCCUCCCAAAUCUCACUGUGCAAUAGUAAUAUGCUUUAGAGGGAAUUGCAUACUCGGAAAUACAAUUCACUAUAUCGAAAAUUUGAUAUUAACAAACGAGGAACGAUGAAAGACGAACGACGUUGAAACUCCGAUGCCAGCCAACCUAGUCUAGUCUAGUAGCAAAAAGCAAAGCAACUUCUAGCGCCAUCUGCAUAGUGCGCUUUCGCUUCUUAAAUUUUCUUCCUUCUCUUAUUUCCCAAAGAAUGCGAUGCGCUGAGAAAAUGGGAGCACCUUGGGCUAAUCUAGUCAAAAUGGGUCAUUUUCGCAGGAAACCCCAUGUUCUUUCGCUCUCCGAAAAUCCCAAACUCGCUUUUCAUUUGCUUUGCUCAACUUGUUGGUUUUGUUAGCUUCGACCCACUGGUAACUGUUAGUAUUCUCUGCUUUAUGGCGAAUUCCCUUCUCACACGUUCCUGCCCCAUCAACACGAGAAGUUCGGCCCUGGGCCCUUUGAAUUUUCCCUACCAAAACAUCUCUUAUCAUGGUACGUUACGUGCGGCAUUUAACGUGGAUAAAUGAAUGGAAAGCAUAAACGUAGAUAAGCCAUUACGUUGAAUAACCAAGCAUAAACGUUGAUACACAAACAAAAGUGGGAUUUCAUACAUAUGCAUAACAAAAGAAACUUUAAUCUUCUGAUAGCGUUUGUUUAGUUUGGUUUGUUGACCCGCACGUCCACUACGGCCGCGAGGAGUUGGGCUCUUUUCGUACGACCUCAAAAUAAGGUUUAUUACGUCAAUGUGCCGUAAUUACUUUAAUGCAUGCGAAGCGAAUCAUGGCCAAGCGAUGAGAGUAAAAAAAUGGGAAACAGAGUUUAUCGAGCGGUUGGUUAAACCAUUAUUCUGUAUUUAGGAAUUGGUAAUAGUAGCAAACGCUUGUGUAAACAGAUAUACCCGAGACACUAAAAUUCGCCACCUACGCUGACAUCUUAGACAUUAGCUACGCCAGUUUCCGCCCAGUACUUUGAAAGUCGCAAAGUGGGGGAUUUCGAUCCUUAUGGGGGUAGGGUGAGCGUUAAGACUAGGAAAGGGUGGGAUGGAGGGGACUGGUGAAGACUUGGACUGGGGUUCACGUGUGUGGGAGAUUUUGGUCUAUGUGGGGGAUUGACUGGAUUGGUAGUUGUAAAACAAAAACACAACGGUUGUAAUGUAGUAGUAGUAGUAGCAGUAUAAUGUGUUUCAAAGUUGGUCUUGAUUGAUGAAUGUGAGUCGAUUUUAUGCCAACGUGUCUUUUUUUUUUGUUUUCACUUAACGAACCAGAGUUCCAUUUGUUACUAAAGAAAAAUAAAAUAUAAAAAAAUAAAAUAAAAUUCUAUUUCUUGAGUGUUUGUCCCUACUACUCUUUAUUACAUUUCUUUGAUAUUCCCAUCGCUUGCAUCCUAAUUAGCAACCUCUUUAGCAUCAUAAAUAUAAUACUACUACUUUCUAUGAGCCAGUAUUUUGGUCGACCUAUUGCUGCUACUGCAAAAGUAUCCUUUCUGCGUCUUUUUAAAAUUUUCAACAUGCGAAGCUUUCUCUUGACACUGUUGUGUUAAGGUUCGUUAAGCGGUUCGCACUUUGACCACCUUCGGACAUUUGUCUUCGUUUAUAGUCCAUGUGAUUAGUGCAUAACCUGCUAUGGUAUAAAGCAUGCAACAAAGGAAAAUGAAAGAAAGUAUUGAAUAUGCGAAAUGCGACGCUGAUUAAGGAAGACUAGAAUGAAUUAAAAAAUUUUUCUUGAUAUUGCUUUAGAAAAUCUUUUUCGUUUCCAUUUGUUGUUCUUUUUUUUGCAUACAUUUUUUUUUUCGGUGGCAUUCAUUUUAUUCUUUUCGGUUUGUUUACCUAAUCAAAUUUUACUAUUUGGAAGUGCUUCAUCCACAUUUUCAAGAGCUAAUAAAAUUUUUUUUUUUGCUUUCUUAUUUCCCUUUUUUUAUUUUUAUUUUAUUUCAAUUAUUAACUCUUCUCUUUUUUCCCUCUAUCUGUUUCUUCUAACUAAUCAUCUUUGCUCUACAUUCAAAUCACUCAGUAAUUUGUUCGCAAACAUCGCAACUAAAUUUGGAAAUGAAAUUCAAACUAUUUUACUCAUGGUCGCAGUGC